rnacentral:rRNA from 1 species
UACGUAGGUCCCGAGCGUUGUCCGGAUUUAUUGGGUGUAAAGGGCGUGUAGGCGGGAGCGCAAGUCAGAUGUGAAAACUCAGGGCUCAACCCUGAGCCUGCAUUUGAAACUGUGUUUCUUGAGUGCUGGAGAGGCAAUCGGAAUUCCGUGUGUAGCGGUGAAAUGCGUAGAUAUACGGAGGAACACCAGUGGCGAAGGCGGAUUGCUGGACAGUAACUGACGCUGAGGCGCGAAAGCGUGGGGAGCAAACAGG